GAUGAACGCUGGCGGCGUGCCUAAUACAUUCAAGUCGAGCGAACGGACGAGAAGCUUGCUUCUCUGAUGUUAGCGGCGGACGGGUGAGUAACACGUGGAUAACCUACCUAUAAGACUGGGAUAACUUCGGGAAACCGUAGCUAAUACCGGAUAAUAUUUUGAACCGCAUGGUUCAAAAGUGAAAGACGGUCUUGCUGUCACUUAUAGAUGGAUCCGCGCUGCAUUAGCUAGUUGGUAAGGUAACGGCUUACCAAGGCAACGAUGCAUAGCCGACCUGAGAGGGUGAUCGGAGACACUGGAACUGAGACACGGUCCAGACGCCUACGGGAGGCAGCAGUAGGGAAUCUUCCGCAAUGGGCGAAAGCCUGACGGAGCAACGCCGCGUGAGUGAUGAAGGUCUUCGGAUCGUAAAACUCUGUUAUUAGGGAAGAACAUAUGUGUAAGUAACUGUGCACAUCUUGACGGUACCUAAUCAGAAAGCCACGGCUAACUACGUG
rnacentral:rRNA from 1 species